AGAUAAUAGAUACCCUGGUAGUCCACGCCGUAAACGGUGGGUACUAGGUGUGGGUUUCCUUCCUUGGGAUCCGUGCCGUAGCUAAACGCAUUAAAGUACCCCGCCUGGGGAGUACGGCCGCAAGGCUAAAACUCAAAGGAAUUGACGGGGCCCGCACAAGCGGCGGAGCAUGUGGAUUAAUUCGAUGCAACGCGAAGAACCUUACCUGGGUUUGACAUGCACAGGGCGCCGGCAGAGAUGUCGGUUCCCUUGUGGCCUGUGUGCAGGUGGUGCAUGGCUGUCGUCAGCUCGUGUCGUGAGAUGUUGGGUUAAGUCCCGCAACGAGCGCAACCCUUGUCUCAUGUUGCCAGCACGUUAUGGUGGGGACUCGUGAGAGACUGCCGGGGUCAACUCGGAGGAAGGUGGGGAUGACGUCAAGUCAUCAUGCCCCUUAUGUCCAGGGCUUCACACAUGCUACAAUGGCCGGUACAAAGGGCUGCGAUGCCGUGAGGUGGAGCGAAUCCUUUCAAAGCCGGUCUCAGUUCGGAUCGGGGU
rnacentral:rRNA from 1 species